AGCCAACUCUCAAUAAAAGGGCGUUGUCUCUUGUCAGUAAAGGUGAAUCGGUGACGAAUUGGCUGAGCUGAUAAUAUGAUGCCCACCUAUUAAUUUAGGUUUAA
rnacentral:ncRNA from 1 species